rnacentral:rRNA from 1 species
CGCGUAGGUGGUAGUGUAAGUCUGGGGCGGAAUCCCAGGGCUUAACCCUGGAACUGCCUUGGAAACUGCAUUACUUGAGUCAGUGAGGGGAGGGUAGAAUUCCUGGUGUAGCGGUGAAAUGCGUAGAUAUCAGGAGGAAGGCCUGUGGCGAAGGCGGCCCUCUGGCGCUGGACUGACACUGAGGCGCGAAAGCGUGGGGAGCAAACAGGAUUAGAUACCCUGGUAGUCCACGCCCUAAACGGUGGGCACUAGGUGUAGGGCUCGUAAGGGUUCUGUGCCGAAGGGAACCAUUAAGUGCCCCGCCUGGGGAGUACGGCCGCAAGGUUGAA